GAGAGGGGAGGGGGGGUAGAAGUUUGUGGAUAGGUGGUAGUUAGUGUUGAGGUGACAGUAACACAGUGUGCUGUUUUGUGUGUGUUUUGCUUUUGAGAUUACUGAUACUUUUGUUCUAAGUGACAUUAGUAUUUUAACAACGCGAAACAAAACAAAAGUUCUUUGUGGAUAUAGGCUCUAGUUCCAAGUGCAUUAACAUUUUAUUAAAAAAAAGGCAACUAUCUUCAGGACGAAACAAUUCAAUACAAGG
rnacentral:sRNA from 1 species